AUUCAGUUUAUAAUUGCAAAGAUCAGAACGAAGUUAACUUUUUCACAAAAUGAGUAUUCGAUUUUUCAUCCUUUUAUUGUUUGUAUUCUUGCUGGCCAUUAUCGGGUGCGAUGGAGACAGAGCCGGUGCACCGCGAAACUGUCGACGUGGUUGUUCCCACAAACCAAUGAGCAUGAAAGAUGUAGACCUAACUAAAGCUCAACCUGUAACGGGAAUAAAACGUAAAAAAUUUUCAUUCGGAAAAUAAGUUCGCUAUCUUGUUGUUAUUAUAAAAUUGACAAAAAAACCUGUCAAUAAAUAUCCAUUUUGCUUGAAUA